GGUCAGGAUGAACGCUAGCGACAGGCUUAACACAUGCAAGUCGAGGGGCAGCACGGGAGUAGCAAUACGUUGGUGGCGACCGGCGCACGGGUGAGUAACGCGUAUGCAACCUACCUAUCAGAGGGGAAUAACCCGGCGAAAGUCGGACUAAUACCGCAUAAAACAGGGGCACCGCAUGGUGAUAUUUGUUAAAGAAAUUCGCUGAUAGAUGGGCAUGCGUUCCAUUAGGUAGUUGGUGAGGUAACGGCUCACCAAGCCGACGAUGGAUAGGGGAACUGAGAGGUUGGUCCCCCACACUGGUACUGAGACACGGACCAGACUCCUACGGGAGGCAGCAGUGAGGAAUAUUGGUCAAUGGGCGGGAGCCUGAACCAGCCAAGUCGCGUGAAGGAAGAAGGAUCUAUGGUUCGUAAACUUCUUUUGCAGGGGAAUAAAGUGCAGGACGUGUCCUGUUUUGUAUGUACCCUGAGAAUAAGGAUCGGCUAACUCCGUGCCAGCAGCCGC
rnacentral:rRNA from 1 species